rnacentral:rRNA from 1 species
ACUCCGUGCCAGCAGCCGCGGUAAUACGGAGGGUGCAAGCGUUAUUCCGGAUUCACUGGGUUUAAAGGGUGCGUAGGCGGGUAGGUAAGUCAGUGGUGAAAUCCUGGAGCUCAACUCCAGAACUGCCAUUGAUACUAUCUAUCUUGAAUAUUGUGGAGGUAAGCGGAAUAUGUCAUGUAGCGGUGAAAUGCUUAGAUAUUGACAUAGAACACCCAUUGCGAAGGCAGCUUACUACGCAUAUAUUGACGCUGAGGCACGAAAGCGUGGGGAUCAAACAGGAUUAGAUACCCUGGUAGUCCACGCCCUAAACGAUGUCAACUGGUUGUUGGGUCUUCACUGACUCAGUAACGAAGCUAACGCGUGAAGUUGACCGCCUGGGGAGUACCGGCCGCAAGGUUGAAACUCAAAGGAAUUGACGGGACCCGCACAAGCCGUGGAUGAUGUGGUUAAUUCGACGCACGCGAAAACCUUACCACCUUUGACAUGUACGGAAUUUGCCAGAGAUGGCUUAUGCUCGAAGAGAACCGUAA